rnacentral:rRNA from 1 species
UACGGAGGAUCCGAGCGUUAUCCGGAUUUAUUGGGUUUAAAGGGUGCUCAGGCGGGCCAUUAAGUCGGCGGUGAAAUUUUGCGGCUCAACCGUAAAAGUGCCUUCGAUACUGGUGGUCUUGAGUGUGGAUGAGGUAGGCGGAAUUUGUGGUGUAGCGGUGAAAUGCAUAGAUAUCACGAGGAACUCCGAUUGCUAAGGCAGCUUACUAAGCCAUAACUGACGCUCAACCACGAAGGCGUGGGGAUCAAACAGGAUUAGAUACCCGUGUAGU